CUUCUCCCACGAGCAGCACAACCCUGUCCUCCUCCCUGUAGACCUCCCCUCUCUUUUCUCCCAGGCCUCUCUCGGCUUCCCCUAAACACACACGCGCGCACACACACACACACACACACACACACACACCCCGGCUGGCAGGCCUGCUCACCGAUUUCUUAUCACCUUUCCACCAGCCUGAGUAGACUCUCCUGCACUUUCCUGUCUGUUGGUCAGGAAGGCUGAGGGUGCCGUAGCCGUCUCGCUUCCCAAACUUCCAGUCCCCCUCAUAGAUGGCUCCUUUCUUCUUCCAGACCUGUGUUCCUUUCCCUGGUGACACACAGAUGGGCAAUGCUGCAGACAUGGCCGCCGGGGGGUGGGGGUGGUGUGCCUGCCUGAGCCUCAGGGGCCCCCAACUAGACGAAUCUAGAGAGCUGGGACAGGCUCUGCGCAUCAUCCUAGACACCAAGUACCCAGGAGAAGGCCAGGAAAGUUCCAUUUCUUUCUUUCUUUCUUUCUUUCUUUUUUUUUUUUGAGGCAGUGUCUCACUCUGUCGCCCAGGCUGGAGUGCAGUGGCGCGAUCUCAGCUCACUGCAACCUCUGCCUCCCGGGUUCAGGAGAUACUCCUGCCUCAGCCUCCAGAGUAGCUAGGACUACAGGUGUGCGCCAACACACUUAGCUAAUUUUGUGUUUUAGUAAAGAUGGGGUUCCAUGUUGGCCAGGCAGGUCUGAAACUCCUGACCUCAAGUGAUAUGCCCACCUCGGUCUCCCAAAGUGCUGGGAUUACAGGCGUGAGCCACUGCGUCCGGCCAGAGGUAAUUCUCUUAUUUGUUGAUUAGUGUCGCAUGCCUGUCUUUUCCAGGAGAAUGUGAGCUGCAGGAGGGCACAGACUUUGGUCUGUUUUGUUCCCUGCACUGAAAAACUGUGCCUGGAGGCUGGGUGCAGUGGCUCGAGCCUGUAAUCCCAGCACUUUGGGAGGCUGAGGCGGGUGGAUCACCUGAGGUCAGGAGUUCGAGACCAGCCUGACCAAAAUGGCGAAACCCUGUGUCUACUAAAAAUACAAAAAUUAGCCAGGCGUGGUGGCAGGCGCCUGUAAUCCCAGCUACUCAGGAAGCUGAGGCAUGAGAAUCUCUUGAACCUGGGAGGCGUGGGUUGCAGUGAGCCGAGAUGACGUCGUUGCAGUGAGCCGAGAUGACGUCAUUGCACUCCAGCCUGGGAGACGAGCGAAACUCCAUCUCAAAAUCAAACAAACAAACAAACAAACUGUUCCUGGCAUGUUGUAGGUGACUAAUACCUGCUAAUUUACUGUUUUCUCUUUUUUUUUCUUUCUUUCUUUCUUUUUUUUUUUUUUGAGACAGAGUCUUGCUGUGUUGCCCAGGCUGAAGUGCAGUGUUGCGAUCUCGGCUCACUGCAACCUCCGCCUCCUGGUUCAAGAGAUUCUCCUGCCUUAGCCACCCCAGUAGCUAGAAUUACAGGUGCCCGCCACCAUGCCCAGCUAAUUUUUGUAUUUUUAGUAGAGACGGGGUUUUACCAUAUUGGCCAGGCUGGUCUCUAACUCCUGACAUCGUGAUCCGUCUGCCUUGGCCACCCAUAAUACUGGGAUUGCAGGCAUGAGCCACCGCACCCGGCCUUUUUUUUUCUUUCUUUCUUUCUUUUUUUUUUUUUUUAAGACGGAGUUUUGCUAUCGUUGCCUGGGCUGGAGUGCAAUGGCACGAUCUCGGCUCACUGCAACUUCCACCUCUCAGGUACAAGCAAUUCUUCCACCUCAUCCCCCCAAGUAGCUGGGAUUACAGGAAUGCACCAGCACGCCUGGCUAAUUUUGUAUUUUCAGUAGAGACGGGGGUCUCUCCAUGUUGGUCAGGCUGGUCUCGAACUCCCGACCUUAGGUGAUCUGUCCGCCUCGGCUUCCCAAAGUGCUAGGAUUACAGGCGUGAGCCACCGCGCCUGGCCUUUUUCUUUCUUUUUUUUAGACAGGAUCUGGCUGUGUUGGCUAUGCUGACGUACACAGCUCGCUGCAGCCUCAACCACCCAGGCUCAAAUGAUCCUUCUGCCUCAGCCUCCUGAGUAGCUGAGACCACAGGUGCAUGCCACUACACCUGGCUAAUUUUUUAAAAAAAUUUUAUAGAGGCAGAGUCUCUCUAUGUUGCCCAGGCUGGUCUCAAACUACUGGGCUCAAGCAGUCCUCCUGCCUAGGCUUCCCAAAGUAUUGGGAUUACAGGCAUGAGGCACCACACCAGGCAUUUCUUUCUUUUUAGAGAUGGGGUCUUGCUAUGUUACCCAGGCUGGUCUUGAACUCUUGAGCUAAAGAGAUUCUCCCUUCUCAGCCUCUCGACGAGCUGGGAAUACAAGCACACACCAGUACACCGAGC
rnacentral:lncRNA from 1 species